CCUACGGGUGGCAGCAGUGGGGGAUAUUGCACAAUGGGGGAAACCCUGAUGCAGCGACGCCGCGUGAGUGAUGAAGUAUUUCGGUAUGUAAAGCUCUAUCAGCAGGGAAGAAAAUGACAGUACCUGACCCAGGAGCCCCGGCUACCUACGUGCCAGCAGCCGCGGUAAUACGUAGGGGGCAAGCGUUAUCCGGAUUUACUGGGGUGAAAGGGAGCGUAGACGGGUAUGUAAGUCUGGAGUGAAAGCCGGGGGCCCAACCCCGGUACUGCUUUGGAAACUGUGUAACUGGAGUACAGGAGGGGCAGGCGGAAUUCCUGGUGUAGCGGUGAAAUGCGUAGAUAUCAGGCGGAACACCGGCGGCGAAGGCGGCCUGCUGGACUGAAACUGACGUUGAGGCUCGAAAGCGUGGGGAGCAAACAGGAUUAGAUACCCGGGUAGUC
rnacentral:rRNA from 1 species